ensembl:lncRNA
CUGCCAUUAGUUAUUAAUAUUUUGCAUUUUAUUGUGAUAUAUUAGUUGUUUUUUUUACUUGUUAAACAAUCAUUCUAAAAUUCAGAGUCUUUUCAAUUGAAUUUUUGUGCACAAGGCAUUAUGAACUUAAUAUUAAUUAUAUUACAAGAAAUCUAGAUAAGCUCUCUGACCAAUGGUUCCCUUUUAAUGUUUGACUUUUAACAUUGCUGACGGACAUGAUUUUCUCAGGGACAUGAAUUAGCAGAAGCUUGUUAGAGUUUGAGUAGUAUGGUUAGGUUGCUGUUGGACUUGAUCUUUAAGAUCAUCAAGUCCGACAACAUCACCCCAACCUGGGCUUUUCUAUUCUGUGAUUCUUUUGAUUCUGUGAUUCUUUUGAGACCUUUCAGGCAGGUAUAGGGCACGAUUUACUUCCAUUUAUAUAAACCAAAUAAUCGGGGCCAGCUGUUACUAAUAUAUUCCAGUUAUUUUAAAAACUGAAGCAAUUUGUGUUGAGAACUCAGUGCAGGAAAGGUAAAUAGCAGUGAUGUUCAUGUGGGCUGACCAAAACCUAAUUGUUAAAAACCAUUAUUUUCCAUAAACUGCCUCUUAAAAUACCAGGUAUUUGUUUAUUUGUUUAUCGACAAUAUGGGCAGUGUUGGAUAUUGUUGUUUGGUUGUGACCAACAGCUUUUCAUUGAGUAUAGAGAAAAAGUCAAGUUUUAGAGAGGCAAAAGGAACUCAGGGGUUUUCAGUUUUUGCCUUGCAAGCAGCCCUGAGGAUUUUGCCCUUCUAUGGCCUUCUCAUGGUUGUUACCUUGAUGUGCUCAGGACUGGGGAUAACAAACAGUGUUUUAUUCUUGGUAGGACUUUGUCAUCCAGAUGCCCCCUCCAGCCCUGCUUGGCUUCUCUGCAUGCCUGUAGGAGAGUGCAAGUCUGGUCUAGGUGAGUUCCUCUAGGUCUGUGGCUUUGUUUGCUGCUAUGGGAAGAGUAGGCCUCGGAGGAACUGUAACACAGAAAAUGCUGAAGUGCUACGUAAGUUUGAACAUCCAAACCUAGGGGUAGUCAUGGACUGGACAUGCAAGAUGGGAGUAUGCCAGCUGAUGCAACAUCCUUCCAAUUCCUUAUAUUUGUGGAUUGCUCUUAUAUCAAGAUGAUGCCCAAAGGCCUAACCAGAAUUAUUCACUUUAUUCCAGUAGGGUCAAUCACAGGUUUUUCUGACAUUUCAAAAUUCUGUAUUUUCCCAAUAUUCAAUAAUGAAUGAAAAGGAAACAGAACAUUCUGCACUGCAUAUACGAACUCUCAGAUUAAUUUGUUGCUAUUCAAUAUUCUCCGAUUCAUUUUCUAUUAAAGCAAGCAGUGAUGCUUAGGAAGCAUGUUUUGUUAUUUUUCAUACCAGGCAGCUCUUGUUUCCUCUACAAGUUUUCAUCUGAUUCCUUUAAUGAAAUUCCUCUCACAAUUGAGCUAAUCUCUCCCUCAGCUCCUCCUUUUCUCAUUUUCACUGCAAGCCUUUGCCUUCUGUUCACUCUAUGCUGCUAUCAGUCUUGAGAAAAUGCUUUUAAGAGUUCUAGCUAUUCCACCUCUAACUUAAGAAAAGGAAAUAUUUUCAUGCUACCUCUACACACUGCAAUUUUAAAUGGAUCUAAUCAGUUCUGCCCUCUACCUUUUAUAACGAGAAGCAUUUUCAAAUGAAUAUUGAGAUAUCCCAUCCUUCACUGAUAGCCUAAUCUCUCACUCUCUUUCCAUAUAACAUUUCAAGCCAUGAAAAAGUUUGCCUGACUUUCAGAACUUACCCACAGCACAAAAGCUUUUUCCAAGAGUUUUAAUUGAAGCCAAACAUCUAUUUAGGUUAACGUGUCCUAUCUUCAACUUGAAUACAAUAAUUUCUUUUUGUAUUUAACCUUUGAUCAGCUGCCUACCUUUGAACUCUUGGAUAGCUACCCCAUUCUUGUAUCCUUGUCCUAUUUCUUCUGUAACUCUUGCAUAACUAACACCUUAUAUCUUAUGUGAAAUAAUUUCUUUUUUUUCCCCAUAAGGAUAGUUUUAUUCACCUUGUUUAUUCUUUAGUUUUUGAACCAUUGAAGAAAUCUUGGGUAUAAUGCUAAUGAAUGGAAUGGAGUAGAAUAGUUUGUUUGGAAGGGGAUUUACAACGAAUAUCAAGUUUAACUGCCUGACCACUUCAGGGAUGGACUUGGGCCACCAUAAUCCAUGGAUUGUGGUCAGCUUGCCCAGUGCUUUCACUUGACCCCACUGACUAAAUCAGAGAUCCAGUUGGCACUGCCUGUCAGCAAAGAGCAAAGUUUGUUACUGGAUUUACACUCCAUUUCCACUCAGAAAAUCCAUUCUGCAUGGACAGAAUGCAAGGAGAGGGGCCAGAGGGAUCAUUCUUUCCAGUGGGAGCACAAGGAUGAAACAUCCCACUUCCUUCUGUGCUUCUAGGUUACUCCCUCUGGGUGACAGACACCAUUAAAGAUGUUCCACUUUUCUGCUGGGACUCAGAAAACUCAAGAUGACUAAAUCAGCAAUAAAAGCUAAAAAGAAAACGAUGACAAACUGCUUAUUGUGACUGGCACUUUUUUCAGAAUUACACCUGCUUAUGUCUGUCUUUUCUGCCUCCCUCUGAUCCUGCAAACAAUCUCUGGUGAUGUAAGAGGGGAAAAAGUGACAACUGGGUUGUUCUGGGUUUCAGCAGCCUUUAUAUACAAAUCUGAAGCAUGCUUCUCCUGGUGACAAGUGGCUGGAUGACUGCUAAUGCAAAAAGGGGCUGUAUGGAAAAACAGCUCUUAAAUUGCUCAGACAGAGCAGCCAGAGUACUGUGACAUGCAACCAACUGUGUCACUUAGGAUUGGUACCUACCUAUGUAUUAUUUAUAGAGAGGGUCUGUUAAUGAACUGUAAAUAUUCCGUACCUAACAGAAAAUAUUCCUGCCAACAUAUCAUCAAGUCCUCCCUUAAAUACCCCAUUUAACAGCAUUACUCAAAAGAACAUGUGGUUAUGCAAAUAAUACAUGCAAAAUAUUAUACUAACAUUAGGCAAAAAAAAAACAACCAAACAUUUUGAAGUACAAUUUCAGCAUGGUCUGAAGGGUUUUUUGUAUACCUUCACAUAUUCUAACCAGCUAAUUAUCUUAGGUCUAAGUGCUUGCAUUUAGUGAUUUCUUACAUCGAUAUAGACUCAGGUAAUAUAAGGACAUACAUACACUGCACAUAAGGACAGCAGACCCAGAAGGACGAAAGGAUGUGAAACAGCACUACUGACUGAAGUCUUGGUGCGUUCUGUCAUUGAACACCCUACAGACAAGGCUGAAUGUUUCAACUCAAAAGGUACAUUGAAUGCAGCUGGAGAUACCACCAUUCUUUUUGUGUGUAUCUCCCCUUUCCCCCAUUUGUGUGACUGUGUGUCAGCCUCUGAAACAAUUCCAAUGUGCUUUUCUUCAUUUGUGCAGCAUUAACACAAGGAGACUUCAAAGUUUCCAAACUCUGAAAUAGAAACUUGAAGAAAAUGCCUUGCUCACGGAACAACCCAAUGCUCAGGUGACUUGACAGCCAUUCUGCCAUAGGUUAACCUAAUUUUCCCUCUGCUGACUGAACUUAUAUGGACAAAAUACAUCACCAAAACGUUUCAUGAAGACACUCUGUGUUCCUGCAACAUCCUGCAACAUCUUCAGCCCAUCUGACAAACUGAGUCUGUGGUGACAGUUGAAAUAACUCUUCCUGGAGAAAGCUGCAACAUUUAUUAAUCUGACGGAGAAAAUCCACAGUGAUGAAGGGAAUCAUAAAACAAGGAGCCAUGUGAGAAGCUGAAGUAACAUGAACUAAUUUCACGAGCGUUAGUUUGAAGAUGUCUCAUGUAGAUUACGUGAUAAAAAAAAAAUGGUGUAUGGGAAUUGCUAAGUCAUGGCCUGAG